GCUGAACACGCAGUAAAACAGUGUUACUAAAACGCAUUAAUGUUUCCAAUGCUCUGUUCAAAUCAGUCAAUGGGAUAAAUGAAGUGUAUUAAUUCGUGUCUAGCCGCGUUAAAGGUCAGGUACAUGUAAGGACAAAAGUGACGUUAAACAGCUACGCCGAAAAAUGAAGGAAUUAAAUAGGAGGAUUUGUGAAGAAAAUGUAGGAAAAUAUGGAAGAUUUUCUAUUAAAAACAGGCAACGUACAGACAUCAACUGCAAAAUGACACUGAAGGAUGCAACAAAAAUUAUUAAAAGUCAAUAAAACGAAAAUUGCAACCGUUAUAAUCAGAAAGAAUAAUCAGUGAUGGCUUCGUUUUGAUGUCUCCAAUUGUUGGGGACUUUGAUUCUGAGCCAUCAUUGCUGACUGGCUGGCUGAUGCUGGUACAAUUGGCGACAAAGCAGAUGUGGCUUAGGCAAUGGAACUACUGCUAAACAAGUCGUUUUAUAUUAAGCAGACUCAGAAGUUAGGGCAGAAAUGUUACGUUCUUGUUCUUCUUCUUAUGCACAGGCCACCUUUAAGAGCAUACCUGACAUGUCAGACCUGGAUGUCGGUGACUCAGACAAUGACCAUGAAUGGAGAUGUCUUGAGACCUUGUGAUACAUUUUUUGUCUGAUAUUAACUGUGAAUAAAACAGAAUCAAG